rnacentral:lncRNA from 1 species
GUCCCCUGCAGCCCCUCCACAACCUGCCAGCAGGGGGCACUGCGCCCACAGCCGUGAAAGCGGCUUGGCGCCUCGGAACGAACUCGGCGCUCCCUCCCUCGCACAGCUCAAACGCCUCUGCCUCCAACUGGGAAGCGAAGCGCGGUCUCUCCAGCAGCUGUGGGGUCCUGAGCAUCGCAUCGCAGCCUCCGCGGGCCAGCUUCUGGGGAGCCCCCAGAGAGAGCGACAGCAGGGAAUUCCCCCAGCUGGACGCUCUUCUGGGCAGCCUGUCCCAGGUCGUGCUGCAGGAGGGCCACCGCCUGAAAGCCUGGGGCGUCCUUGGCACAGGCACUGGGGCGGAGCUGCUACGGCCAGGUGAGCCCUGCUCGGACUCAUCCAGAACCACCCUCUUCCCCGAAGAAACCUGGCCCUGUAUCAGGUGGGAGGAAGGCUAAACCAAGAGGAAAUCCCCAAGGUUGGGAGGGGCUUCCUGUGCAGCGUCCUGGGCAAACGGCUGUGUUACAGAAGAGGGAACCUCCACGAGGGGGACAGCAGAGGAGGAGACAAACAAAACCGCCACAGAGCAUAGCUUUACAUAUAAGGUAGCACUUUCUGAGAGCAAAAGCCUGACUACUGAAUGCGAAAGGUCAGGUUUGGAAAAUGCUGGACUUGCCAGGAAAGAAAGAGGCAGGGAGUAGGAUCCUACAAUUUGAUGAUGUCAGGCUCACAUCCCAAAUGUGGAGCCCUGACCUGGACUCAGCAAAAAAAAACAAACAAACAAAAAAAAGUCUUUCCCAAGCACCUGCUACACCCUCCUACCAGGGUUAGUUUGGUUAGGGGGUCUCCUUCCAGCUCCUUUUAUUCUACCCAGCCAAGGGAGCCCCUGACCUGCCAGAUGUGGCCUCAGACCCAGGGCUAAGCUAGUGUUUGCAUUCCUGCAGCCUCAGCAAGCCCUCCAGGGGAUGCCAAAAACAUCGGUGUGCAUCCUGUCACCAAGCUGAUGGUCCCUGGCCCGGACUGUGUGAUGCUCCCAGCCAGUGGCCAGGCAGGGCCCAUACCCCCGGGCUACUUCAUCCACCCUGACACAGGGCGGGUGCUGCCCGAGGCUGGAAAUCUGGGUUACGAUGUGCAGGAAGCAACCCUGGUGCCCACCACUGACUGCAGUUCUGGUGGCAUCCGAACCUCAGAAGCUGCCAUCCUUCCCUACGUGCCCUACCCGACCUGUCUUGCCACAGGCUCCCUGCCAGCCACCCACCUGCCUGUCCUGCAGCCGAGAAGGACGUCACAGUCAGGGGCUCUCAUGACAGACCCCAUAACGGGCAUCGAGGUGCCCGUGCUGGCUGUGACUCUGCACCCUCAAACAAGGCAGUGGCUCACUCUUGGGGGGGCGUACCGCAAUCCACUCACCCAGACCCUGGCCCCUCUGGAGCUGGGGGGCCCCAUGGAGGAUCCGGUCACAGGAGGCAUCUCACCGAUCCUGGGAGUCGGGUUGGAUGAAAACACAGGUCUGCUGGUAGCCCGCGUGCCUUCCUUCUGCCCUUCCUCCCUCUGGUCUGGCUUCCCAAGCCCCUCCCCUCAGCACCCCAGACCCUCCACAUUCUGGUCCAGUCUGCAGCCUCCACCCGAAGCCUGCCCAUAUUUCCACCCUUCAUGCUCUGGCUGCCUUUCCUCUCCUUCCCGGUUUCCCUCGCCCUCAUCUUCAGCACAGUGCCCCCCGCCUCGCCCAGGGUGGGAGGCAGGGGUGAGAACUGAGCUGCUUCUGCAGCAAAAGCAUAUGGAUGGUUUUCUAUCAGGAAAGACAUUCCUUCUCCCCCCUGCCCUCCCUCACCCCAGACUCUGCCCCAUCCCCCGACCUCCACCCCCAUCCUGUCACUCACUCUGUCCUGGCCACCCCCCCCCCCCACCGCCGGUUCUCUCUUGCCUCACCCACCUCUAUCCCUUCCCGCAUCCCCCUCUCUCUGGUUCUUGCCUCCAGGCCAGGUGCUUGCACUGGGAGGACUUCGAGAUGCCUCGGGGAACCUCCUGCUGCCUGGUGACAGCUUUGUGGAGCCACUGA